UACGAAGGGGGCUAGCGUUGCUCGGAAUCACUGGGCGUAAAGGGUGCGUAGGCGGGUUUUUAAGUCAGAGGUGAAAUCCUGGAGCUCAACUCCAGAACUGCCUUUGAUACUGAGAAUCUUGAGUAUGGGAGAGGUGAGCGGAACUGCGAGUGUAGAGGUGAAAUUCGUAGAUAUUCGCAAGAACACCAGUGGCGAAGGCGGCUCACUGGCCCAUAACUGACGCUGAGGCACGAAAGCGUGGGGAGCAAACAGG
rnacentral:rRNA from 1 species